rnacentral:rRNA from 1 species
GACAGAGGUGGCAAGCGUUGUUCGGAUUCAUUGGGUGUAAAGGGCAGGUAGGUGGCUUGGUAAGUCUGAUGUGAAAUCCCACGGCUCAACCGUGGAACUGCAUUGGAAACUGCCGGGCUUGAGUAUCGGAGAGGUUAGGGGAAUUCCCGGUGUAAGGGUGAAAUCUGUAGAUAUCGGGAGGAACACCAGUGGCGAAGGCGCCUAACUGGCCGAUUACUGACACUGAGCUGCGAAAGCUAGGGGAGCAAACAGG